UACGUAGGGGGCAAGCGUUGUCCGGACUUACUGGGCGUAAAGCGUGCGCAGGCGGUCUGUUAAGACCGAUGUGAAAUCCCCGGGCUUAACCUGGGAACUGCAUUGGUGACUGGCAGGCUUUGAGUGUGGCAGAGGGAGGUAGAAUUCCACGUGUAGCAGUGAAAUGCGUAGAGAUGUGGAGGAAUACCGAUGGCGAAGGCAGCCUCCUGGGCCAACACUGACGCUCAUGCACGAAAGCGUGGGGAGCAAACAGG
rnacentral:rRNA from 1 species